GAACGCUAGCGACAGGCCUAACACAUGCAAGUCGAGGGGCAGCACAAGGAGCAAUCUGAGGUGGCGACCGGCGCACGGGUGAGUAACACGUAUGCAACCUGCCUGUAAGCGGGGAAUAACCCGUUGAAAGACGGACUAAUACCGCAUAAUACUAAAUUACUGCAUGGUAAUUUAUUUAAACAUUUAUGGCUUACAGAUGGGCAUGCGCAUGAUUAGCUAGUUGGAGAGGUAACGGCUCCCCAAGGCAACGAUCAUUAGGGGUUCUGAGAGGAAGGUCCCCCACACUGGUACUGAGACACGGACCAGACUCCUACGGGAGGCAGCAGUGAGGAAUAUUGGUCAAUGGACGAGAGUCUGAACCAGCCAAGUCGCGUGCAGGAAGAAUGUUCCCUAUGGAUUGUAAACUGCUUUUGCAGGGGAAUAAAGUGCAUCACGUGUGAUGUUUUGUAUGUACUCUGCGAAUAAGGAUCGGCUAACUCCGUGCCAGCAGCCGC
rnacentral:rRNA from 1 species